rnacentral:piRNA from 1 species
UCAAAAAGUAAUAGGGAU